UACGAAGGGGGCUAGCGUUGCUCGGAAUCACUGGGCGUAAAGGGCGCGUAGGCGGCAAUUCAAGUCAUCUGUGAAAUCUCCGGGCUUAACUCGGAACGGUCAGAUGAUACUGCUUUGCUAGAGUGCGGAAGGGGCAAUCGGAAUUCUUGGUGUAGCGGUGAAAUGCGUAGAUAUCAAGAGGAACACCUGAGGUGAAGACGGGUUGCUGGGCCGACACUGACGCUGAGGCGCGAAAGCCAGGGGAGCAAACGGG
rnacentral:rRNA from 1 species